AGCCUUUCUUCCCUAUUCUUACAUUUCUAUGAAAUGUUCAUAUUUCUCUUUGAUGUUGUCUUCAUUAUUUCCAUGACUGCAAGAGAAUGAGACUAUGCUCCAAGCACAGUCUAUAUAUGGCACAGGGAAUGAGUCACAUGCCAGAAAAGAUGAACUUGAACACAACGUGCAAUGAGGAAAUAAAUGACAGCACUUCAACAUUCAAAAAGGCAACAAUCACAAUCACAAUGCCAGAUGACCAAAGCAAUAACUCUGGGAAGAUAACAGGCAAGCAAUUGACCCUGGAGCCACGUCAUCAAAUCAUUCAAAGAAAUCUUAGAUCAAUGGAGGAGGGUUGCAGUGUGUCUUUAUAAGGGAUGACAACACUGACAAUGAAGAUCACCCUGGAGGUUAUUUAGAAGAAAAUCUAUCAUCUGUAAACCUAAAGUGAUAACAGCCAUUAGCUACAAGGGACGUGGAUGUGCUCCUUGUCAACUUUCCAAAAGAGAAAAUGCAUUUACUGAAAAGAUAAACUGUAACCGUCAGCUUUUCCACCUAUCUGAAGCCAUGGUUCAUUUCAGAAUAUCCUUAAAAGAAUGUAUUCUGCCUGCCACCCCUGCCUGUGUCAUCUCAUGUUAGUUCAGCAGCCAGCAGCUGUUGGGCAUCUUGCUGUCAUCUACCCUACACACAUCUACUGAAGCAGAGCUGUGUUGUGACAGGAAUCACUUAUCACAGGCUGCUUUCCAGGUCUGCCUUUUGGAUAAGCACGUUGUGUCAUUUAAAGCUGAUGUGAGUACAGUUUAUGAUUGAAGCUUAUGAAACAGCUUUGAGAACCAAACAUGUCUGUGGAGUGUCAAUUAUUUUGUUGCUUCCCUGCUAAAACAUAAUAGAUAGAUUACAAAACUGAUCUCUUCCAACUGCCCAAUCUAUAGAAGGGCAGUGUUUAGAGUUACCAAAAGUCAUUUCCAUAACAAGCUUUAGAUGACCCAUAACACGCAUC